CGGCGGACGGGUGAGUAACGCGUGGGUAACCUGCCUCAUACAGGGGGAUAACAGUUAGAAAUGACUGCUAAUACCGCAUAAGCGCACAGGACCGCAUGGUCUGGUGUGAAAAACUCCGGUGGUAUGAGAUGGACCCGCGUCUGAUUAGCUAGUUGGAGGGGUAACGGCCCACCAAGGCGACGAUUGGUAGCCGGACUGAGAGGUUGAUCGGCCACAUUGGGACUGAGACACGGCCCAAACUCCUACGGGAGGCAGCAUG
rnacentral:rRNA from 1 species